rnacentral:rRNA from 1 species
AACGAACGCUGGCGGCAUGCCUUACACAUGCAAGUCGAACGAGCCCUUCGGGGUUAGUGGCGCACGGUUGCGUCACGCGUGGGAAUCUUCCCUUGGGUUCGGAAUAACAGUGAGAAAUUACUGCUAAUACCGGAUGAUGUCUUCUGACCAAAGAUUUAUCGCCCAAGGAUGAGCCCGCGUAGGAUUAGCUAGUUGGUGGGGUAAUGGCCUACCAAGGCGUCGAUCCUUAGCUGGUCUGAGAGGAUGAUCAGCCACACUGGGACUGAGACACGGCCCAGAAUCCUACGGGAGGCAGGAGUGGGGGAUAGAGGACAAUGGGCGAAGGGAUGAAGCAGCAAUGCCGGGUGAGUGAUGAAGGUAUUAGAGAUGUAAAGCUCAUUUAACCGGGAUGAUAAUGACAGUACCGGGAGAAUAAGCUCCGGCUAACUCCGUG